rnacentral:rRNA from 1 species
CCUACGGGUGGCAGCAGUGGGGAAUAUUGCACAAUGGGCGCAAGCCUGAUGCAGCCAUGCCGCGUGUGUGAAGAAGGCCUUCGGGUUGUAAAGCACUUUCAGCGGGGGGGAAGGCGUUAAGGUUAAUACCCUUGUCGAUUGACGUUACCCGCAGAAGAAGCACCGGCUAACUCCGUGCCAGCAGCCGCGGUAAUACGGAGGGUGCAAGCGUUAAUCGGAAUUACUGGGCGUAAAGCGCACGCAGGCGGUCUGUCAAGUCGGAUGUGAAAUCCCCGGGCUCAACCUGGGAACUGCAUUCGAAACUGGCAGGCUAGAGUCUUGUAGAGGGGGGUAGAAUUCCAGGUGUAGCGGUGAAAUGCGUAGAGAUCUGGAGGAAUACCGGUGGCGAAGGCGGCCCCCUGGACAAAGACUGACGCUCAGGUGCGAAAGCGUGGGGAGCAAACAGGAUUAGAUACCCCAGUAGUC